GAGCUAUCUCUGCCACGUUACGUGACUGUGAAUUGUGCAACGAAUACAAUGCAGGAAACCGACAACAGAGGGUGGACGGAUUUACAAUCAAGAGCACUAUAAUGUGGGGAUCAGUUUGUAUGGACAUAGCUAGACCCAUGGGUGUGACCGACACAAAAGCUUCUCUUCAAGCCACGCACCUGUCUCCAAUCAACCCUCGUCACCACCUACAUUUAAGCCUGACUGUUCCCGGAAAUCCUCGCCAAAGUACUGCAGCCUGUCCUAGCGUUACCAAGGCCCACCGUACUCAUGAGAAAGGACGAGGUGAUGUUGACCGAAUCUGAGGCUGUUGCUGUUUGGGUUCUGCACCGAUCAACUGGGACAAGAUCUGAGGUGGACCACUUCCCCCGGAGUCGUGACCACGAAGUAUUCUGUUCUGACCGACCGGGCCGGGUCCUGAGGCAGAACCACUGAAGGAGUCUACC